UUGGUUGCUCAUCUUUCUUCUUCUCAAUCUCUGCCUUAACUGCAUUAGAAACUUCUUCUUCGGUUGUACCAAAGAUAUCAGGACGAGUUCGUGCAAGUCCGACAAUGUUUCUAGAGAUUUCAUCAUCCUGAGCAAGAGUUGUUUCCCGGAUUUUUGCAAACAUCCUUUCCUUUUGUUCCUUGUACUUGGGAUCGAUUAGAGAAAUCCUCAUAUGCUCAGACAUCUCAUUAAUGGGAAUUAGCUCACCGGUGAUAGGGGAAACCCCAACCUUUGUUGGGUCCCUUUCAACGGGGAUCCUUUCCUCAGGCCUCUUCCAGUUCUUCACAAUUCUCAUUGGUUCUUCUGGUUCCUCAUUAGCCUUGGUGAAUUUCUUCUCACUAUCAUUCUCUUCAAGACUCGUUGCCCUCAUUCCUUCCUCAACAAGUUGCACCUCUUCUUCAUCCAUUUCCAUUUCCACCUCCUUUCCAGGCUCAAUGAUUUCAUCUUCAACCAUGGCAGAUACCUUGCUCCUCCUUAUAACCUCCUCAAGGGUCAUAGGAGGGGGCAAGUCCUCAUCCUCAUCAUCUGCAAAGUCUAUUGUCUCGACUGCUACAAAAUCAUGCCAAUCAAUCAUGGCCAUUUGAAUCCUCUCUUGCUCAAUCUCAUCCUCAGCUUUCUGCCUUGCCUGCUCCUGCGAGUGUUCCCACUCCAAGCGAUGCAAGCACCGUUCAAGCACAGUGGUCAUAUCAGCAGCACUUUUUGUCAGCUUCUCAGUCAACCCCUUAGGAGGCAUCAACACUUUUGAGUAUGCAUCAGCCAGUCCGGUAAAAAAUGUGAACAUGCUGUGAGUUGGCUUCAAAAAGUGGAACUGAGGAUUGUUCAUCUCCCUAUUUGUCAGACCAGUCAAGAAAGCUUGGCCAUUUCGAGCCACAAACUGGGCUGUGAGCUUAAUAAUAUCAAGUUCCUCUCCAGUGAUCCCCUCAGGAAGCCGAAUGGUAUACUGCUCAGCUUCUGGGGGUUCAAGAACUUUACGAGGAGGUGGUCUAAACUGGGCUGUGGGGUCAGGCCUUGGAGCAGUGUCAGUGGCAUCAGUAACAGGAGCAGACGGCGUUGACUCAGUGGCAUCAGAAUCUGAAGGUUGUGAAGGAGGCUGCUGAGCAGAAGAUUGAUUCAGUGCACGAAAUUGAUGUUGAUAGUAUGCAUGGUAUGGAUCUGAGGGAUUCAAAAAAUUGAACUUGGCAUUGUUAGCAUUAUUGGCAAUGAUCCUUUUUUCAAACUCAGGUCCAUUUUUUGCAACAAACUGUGCAGUUUUGUCUACAAUAUUCCUAAUAUCCGGAGGAGGAUGAAUGAUUCCAAUAGUUCUUGUGUGGGUUGCAACCGGGGCUUUGUUCUGGUCAUCACUUGCUGUUUUAUCUUCCUUAGAUGACUGCUGUUCUAACACUUGAGAAGGGGAAGCAGAGCUGUCUCCGCUAGGAGGAGGUGCUGGAAGAGGCAAGAUUGCUGUGCCAGGCAUUUUUUUCCACCAGAACUUCAGCAAGGAUAGGGAAAGGAAAUCAAUGCCAAAAGAACAAGAAAUUCGUC
rnacentral:misc_RNA from 1 species